rnacentral:rRNA from 1 species
CAUCGAGCGAAUGGAUUAAGAGCUUGCUCNUAUGAAGUUAGCGGCGGACGGGUGAGUAACACGUGGGUAACCUGCCCAUAAGACUGGGAUAACUCCGGGAAACCGGGGCUAAUACCGGAUAACAUUUUGAACUGCAUGGUUCGAAAUUGAAAGGCGGCUUCGGCUGUCACUUAUGGAUGGACCCGCGUCGCAUUAGCUAGUUGGUGAGGUAACGGCUCACCAAGGCAACGAUGCGUAGCCGACCUGAGAGGGUGAUCGGCCACACUGGGACUGAGACACGGCCCAGACUCCUACGGGAGGCAGCAGUAGGGAAUCUUCCGCAAUGGACGAAAGUCUGACGGAGCAACGCCGCGUGAGUGAUGAAGGCUUUCGGGUCGUAAAACUCUGUUGUUAGGGAAGAACAAGUGCUAGUUGAAUAAGCUGGCACCUUGACGGUACCUAACCAGAAAGCCACGGCUAACUACGUGCCAGCAGCCGCGGAAUACGAGGGC